UACGAAGGGGGCUAGCGUUGUUCGGAAUUACUGGGCGUAAAGCGCGCGCAGGCGGUCUUCCAAGUCAGUGGUGAGAGCCCGGAGCUCAACUCCGGAACUGCCAUUGAAACUGUUAGACUUGAGGAUGAGAGAGGUGAGUGGAAUUCCCAGUGUAGAGGUGAAAUUCGUAGAUAUUGGGAAGAACACCGGUGGCGAAGGCGGCUCACUGGCUCAUUUCUGACGCUCAGGCGCGACAGCGUGGGGAUCAAACAGG
rnacentral:rRNA from 1 species